rnacentral:lncRNA from 1 species
AAUUAUCAAAAUAAUAAUUUUGGAAAUAAUUAUUGGGUUUUUAUGGAUAAAAGAGGGAAAUAAAUUAAAUUUAAAAACCUUUAAAAAUUAUAGAAAAACAAUAAAACACUUGGACAUGCUUGUAUAUGCAUAUAUAUACUAUUUUGAAGGUAUUUUGCAUAUUGGAAAAUAUAUAGGGAAAAAUUGGAUAUCAAUAGCUGCCCCCUUUUUACUCGGGAAGGAUGAAAAAGUUGUCGGGUAAAGAUAUGAUGGCCAAUUCUGACCGAGCGAAACGGUUUGAAGAAGAUAGGUUGCACCCUGGCUUCUGAGCUGCCUACAUAUCCCUGGUUUUACAGGAAUCAGGUCAUAUGUAGUUCAAGAUCCGUCGGCGGAGUAUGCCGAUGGAGACUUUUCAAGAACGGACGCAAUAUCUAGGACAGAGUGAUUGGCAAGUUUGUGGGAAUGGUCAGGUUUGAUGUGGCUGCGGGAACUGGAGCGGAAUCGCUCCUGCCGGGAUGGCCAUUGCUCGCCUGUGUACCUGCAAUUAGAAACAAUACAAGCGUAUACAGUGCAUAAAUUUAAACAUUAUGCAAAUUCCCGUCGUACCAUGAAUGUUUUCUUCGGACGGUUAGGAUGACGUCCUUUAGAGCAUGACGUCCUGGGCUAUGAAACGUACAAUAAGGAAUUCACGGGCCAUGAAAUGAUGCUCUUGGGCUAUGAGGAUGGUGCCUUCGAACCAUGAUGCCUUUGAAUAAUGAUAUGCAAAAGAUUAAAAGGGGAUCCUCAGGCCAUGAUAUGGUGUUCUCGGGCUAUGAAGAUGAUGCCUCCGAACGAUGACGCCUUUGGAUAAUUUGGCGAUCUUUCAGCCCAUGAGAUGCAGUAUUUGGCGAUCUUUCAGCCCAUGAGAUGCAGUAUUUGGCGAUCUUUUAGCCCAUGGGAUGCAAUAUGAGGUGAUCUUUCAGCCAUGAGAUGCAGUAUGAUGCGAUCUUUCAGCCAUGAGAUGUAGUGAGGUAGUGUUUAGCCUUAUGCAAGGAUGAAGGCAGUGUUUAGCCUUAUGCAAUGCAAGUGCAGAUGGAGGUAGAGCUUAACCUCGGAAGGCAGAAUGGUAGCCUUAUGCGAAUUGGGAGGCAGAAAAGUAGCCUUAUGCAAGAAUGCAGAUGGAGGUAAUAGUAGCCUUAUGCAAUGCGAAAAUGCAGAUGGAGACAAUGUUUAGUCUCGGAAGGCAGAAUGGUAGCCUUAUGCAAUGCAAAAAUGCAGAUGGAGACAGCGUUUAGUCUCGGAAGACAGAAUGGUAGCCUUAUGCAAUGCAAAAAUGCAGAUAGAGACAACGUUUAGUCUCAGAAGGCAGAAUGGUAGCUUAUGCAAUGCAAAAUGCAUAUGGAGACAACGUUUAGUCUCGGAAGGCAGAAUAGUAGCCUUAUGCAAUGCAAAAAUGCAGAUGGAGACAGCGUUUAGUCUCGGAAGGCAGAAUGGUAGCCUUAUGCAAUGCAAAANNNN